CCCAGACAGCGGAGCACAGGAGUGUGCUCUCAGGGCUUGUUAACGCUGGCUCCAAGGCUGCGCUGGGGUUGCUGUGAGCCUUAGCACCCUGCAGGCAGGCCUGAUGGUUACAGUAUGGGAGGGCGAUGUGCCAGUGGCGGCGAUGGAUUGAGUACAUGACCACUGAGGGAAGGAGGCCAGUGGGAAGCAGCAAAUGUUUUCAGCCGCUCAAAGGAAGAGGUGGUAGAACCUUUGAACUCUGAGGCCUACUGGUGUGCCCAAUUAAUCCAGCUUUGGCUAACCAAGAGGAACUGUGGGAUCAUAGCCCCACCUUCUCCCUGUCCUUGCUCCCUUCAAGACAGCAUGCAGGGAACUUGCAGAGUCCUGUGCCCAAGAGCCUGCCUCAUUGUGUGAGUGCCUUCAAACCCUGUGUGACCCCAGUCUGGUUUUAUAAUGGCGUUGGCACCGUGCCUGGCUCUAUGACAGCUUUCUAGAGCCUCAGAAGCCCUUGAAGAUCAAGGACAGGAAUUCCUGGCUCUGUGAUUGGGACCACAUUCCAAGCAUCCCAGUGAGAACACUGAAAAGAAACAUUUCUUGAAGAUAGUGUUGUCCAAGGUCUUCUGUGCACACUAUCAGGAACUUCAUGUGAAGCUUUCUCUCUACAUAGCAAGACAGCACGUCUUCAAGGGGGAUGCAGAGCUGCAGGAUGUAGAGGUUUCCAGGAUAGCUCAUCAAACUGGAUCCUGGUGACAACAUUCUUGGAAAGCAAGGAGCUGGAAGCAUUAUGUCAUGAGGAGAAAGCCCGGGCCACCUGGUGAGCCUGUAUGGUACUCGCCUCCCUCCAUUCAGGGUUCUUGGAUUCUUUCCAGUAGCUGCACCAGCUCCCCAGGGCUGUAUCUACCUUGAAGUGCACUACCACAAUCAAUACAGUGCAAUAUCAAGAAGUUGCAUGACUAUGGUAAUGAGAAUGACCUUGGAUCCUGCAGCUGAUCAUCUCAAAUCCGGCAAAGAUUGUUCUUCAGUUCCUUUCAUCGCAAGUGUAGCCUCAGGCCCAUGCUUUGGCGUACCUUCUACCUUGUACCUCUCCUGAAUUCAUCAGGUGUUCUGCUGUGAUGGGAGCAAUGCACCAUGGGAAAUGCAGUCACACCCUUAGCUUCAGAGGAAAAAAACGAUCAGAGGCAGCCUGAGUUACAGAGGUCCUCAGGUCUCAUUGGGACCCACUUGCCCUGGACAAACCAAACUGAUCAGAGUCACCACCAGGCCCAGCGACUUCAUUCCCAUGGCAGCUAUGUGCUUUGGGGAUCCAUGGCAUCUAUAAUCUAGCAUCUUGGCUGUGCCUUCUGUCCUGAAGGUCUAUCUGCUCAUCUGUCUCUGAGUGCUUCGGCAGUUGCUCCAUGUGGGCUUCUGUUCAAAUCUGCUUUCUCUGCAGGGGUGGUC
rnacentral:lncRNA from 1 species